rnacentral:rRNA from 1 species
UACGUAGGGGGCUAGCGUUGUCCGGAAUCAUUGGGCGUAAAGCGCGCGUAGGCGGCCCAGUAAGUCCGUUGUAAAAGUCAAAGGCUCAACCUUUGAAAGCCGAUGGAUACUGCUGGGCUAGAGUCCGGAAGAGGCGAGUGGAAUUCCUGGUGUAGCGGUGAAAUGCGCAGAUAUCGGGAGGAACACCGGUGGCGAAGGCGGUUCUCUGGGCCGUUACCUGACGCUGAGGAGCGAAAGCGUGGGGAGCGAACAGG